rnacentral:tRNA from 1 species
UGUCUCAGACAGUAGAGAAUCUGCCUGCAAGGCAGGAAACCCAGGUUCAGACCCUGG